UUUGAUCUCCGCUUCUGUGACUGGAUUCACCGUUUGUGUGCACACGUGGCACCAGAAUCGUGCAACCAGGGGUUCCUCCAUCUCUCUUGCGGUCUCUCUUCUCCUCCCUCUUCUUGAGACUAAACCACGACAAGAAAUAACUGCAAUGAACACAGAAUCGGUGAUUGGAAAACUGUUAAUUAUAAGUUGAUACUCUCGGAAGGAAAAAAAUGACAACUUUUUCUCUUUUUGCAGGAAGAAGAUAUCUUUCAUUCAGAUGUGGUAGAUCAAAUUCCAGAGGAUGAGAACUGCAAGCAGGACGGAAGGCCAAGAGAUAUACCUAAAAUUAGGAACUCUCCAAGCAGCAGUCCCCCCGAAUCACAUAUGAGUUCAGAGGCACUCCUAAAAAUCCAAUUUUUCUUGCAAAUCUAGCAGAAAGAAUGGAUUAUGAAGAAUAUGCGUAUAAUUCUUUAUCUUGGAGGACGAUGCAAUUAAAAGCACGGCACGGAUUUAUACAAGACAGCCAGAUGGUGCUAGCAGUAGAAGAAUCCAGAAUAGCGGAGAACAAUGUGACGCUCUCAAAACAAUGGAUGGUUGGAUCGAACACGUAAGCACACUGCACGCGUGGUUACCGUAUGCUGCUCGGUCCACAUCAUGUAACACAUGCAUCAAAACGGGAUCUGCGCUGUGUGGUAGCGUUCUUUGAUAAUUUAUUCAGGCAAGCCCUUUCAACGUGCUAACAGAAUAUUCCAGGGACGAAAUAUCAACCAGCCUUCCCCGCGUACCAUCUUCCAGAAGUUUGUAGGCUGACUUGGACCGCAUCACCCAUUACCAUCUGAGCACACGGGAACGUUCUUGAUAC
rnacentral:lncRNA from 1 species